rnacentral:rRNA from 1 species
UACGUAGGGUGCGAGCGUGACUCGGAAUUACUGGGCGUAAAGCGUGCGCAGGCGGUUUUGUAAGCCCGAUGUGAAAGCCCCGGGCUUAACCUGGGAAUGGCAUUUGGGACUGCAAGGCUUGAGUGCGGCAGAGGAGACUGGAAUUCCUGGUGUAGCAGUGAAAUGCGUAGAUAUCAGGAGGAAUACCGAUGGCGAAGGCAGGUCUCUGGGCUGACACUGACGCUCAUGCACGAAAGCGUGGGGAGCAAACAGG